CUGCUGGGCUUUAGGGGAGAGGACAACACUGUCCAGAACUACUUCCUGAAGCACCUGCAAAGUCGGUGCAUGAUGAUGAGUGGCCUGGUGCUCGGAGGCCUCGUGAUGCUGUCUGAGAGACCUGAGGUGGCAAGAAAAACGUGCUCGGCUGCUGCCAAAAAUCAUGGGUCGACCGUAGGACAUGGAUAAGGAUGUCAGCGCAAAGGCCCUGCUUGUGCUUAGCCACGUGCUCCGUUUCAUGGACAGGCAGAUGGCUGGCCCCAUCGCUUUGCAACUAGCCGAGAAGCUCCUGCCACUACUUAGAUGAUGUAAAGGCUGGGGGGAGACCUGGGGGCCCUCUUGGCCUGUCCAUGGGCCUCUAGGCACGGUCAUGCCUGUGGUGUGUUUGUCUCCACGUGCAUUUGCAGGAGUCCAGGUGCGUGCGAGAACUCUCCGUUCGCCUCUCCAUAGAAGUGAUGGAUAUCGGAGUGGGCUCUGUAACAAGGCAGAUGGAGAAGCAGGUACGAGGCAGCCUGCUCCUGCUGUUCUUCCAGCUGCAUGACCAGAUCCGGAGCGUGGCCCAGACUCGCUCCCCAGCUGCAUCUUCCCAUCAUGGGCCUGGAAAGGUGGUGAGGCUUGCCAAGAGGAGGGCGACACAGGGUCUGCUUGCCUUGGCUGCGACGACGUUUGCCGCGCUCUGCUGUUCGGCACGCUUUUCAGGAAGCCCUCACUCGUACUGCCAAGCUCCUGAAAUAGAGCAGCCCCAGCAUCUGACUGAGACGGCACAGAUCCGGAGGAUCAACGAGUGCUUGGUAAGCGCAGCUGCAAAGCCCCCAGGACAGUGCCGAACAAGGCGUGCCCCCCCCCCCCAAUGCCCAACGUGGGGGAUGGACAGCAGCAAGCCC
ensembl:lncRNA